rnacentral:lncRNA from 1 species
UCUGCAGGAUUUACGCGCACGUUGGAACCGAAGAGAGCUCUGUUGUUGCAGUAAGUUCUUACGGCCAUUUCUUAAUCUCUGCUCUUUCGUUGAGUGUGUGGAAGUUGCUACGGGGAUGAUUUUACGAACUGAACUCUCUCUUUCUGAUGGAUUAGUGGAGAAAACAGAAAAUUCUGAGUAGCACUGUACUGUACGCAACAAAUGUCAGGGCCCUAUUGAUUUGUCUGAGGUGUUAGUGAAGGGUGUUAUUUUUUCAGAUGUUCAGCCCACAAGAGCUUACUGGUGAAGGAAUGGGACAAGACCCAUCUUUAUGCAAAGCCAGCGUUACAGUAAUGUUCCAGCAUCUCAUAAUCUAUCCUGGGGAAUUCAGCUGCCUCCCAGGGUGAAUACAGGUAUUCCUGAUGACAGUCUGCCUCUAUCUUACAGAGCAGCUUGUUGCUAUAUACCAUUGAAAAGCCUUCAGAGCUGAGAGCUUUGUUUUUCUCUAGGUACUACUAACCAAUAACCUGCUUGGCUCAAAGGGCCAGCACCUUCUCUCU